rnacentral:rRNA from 1 species
CACGUAGUUAGCCGUGGCUUUCUGGUUAGGUACCGUCAAGGUGCCAGCUUAUUCAACUAGCACUUGUUCUUCCCUAACAACAGAGUUUUACGACCCGAAAGCCUUCAUCACUCACGCGGCGUUGCUCCGUCAGACUUUCGUCCAUUGCGGAAGAUUCCCUACUGCUGCCUCCCGUAGGAGUCUGGGCCGUGUCUCAGUCCCAGUGUGGCCGAUCACCCUCUCAGGUCGGCUACGCAUCGUUGCCUUGGUGAGCCGUUACCUCACCAACUAGCUAAUGCGACGCGGGUCCAUCCAUAAGUGACAGCCGAAGCCGCCUUUCAAUUUCGAACCAUGCGGUUCAAAAUGUUAUCCGGUAUUAGCCCCGGUUUCCCGGAGUUAUCCCAGUCUUAUGGGCAGGUUACCCACGUGUUACUCACCCGUCCGCCGCUAACUUCAUAAGAGCAAGCUCUUAAUCCAUUCGCUCGACUUGCAUGUAUUAGGCACGCCGCCAGCGUUCAUCCUGAGCCAGGAUA